AUGUUUGUGGCCCAAUUAGCUAGAAAGCAGGAAGUGAAUUAAUCAUUUUUCUAUGAUUUUGAGGUGAAUGAUGAGGGGAACCUGGUGCGUGUGUUCUGGGCGGAUGCCACAAGUAGGAAGAACUAUAGUCACUUUGGUGAUGUGAUAUCCUUCGAUUCUACAUACACCACUAAUCAGUACAACAUGAUAUUUACACCAUUUACAGGGGUUAAUCAUCACUUACAAAGUGUCCUUUUUGGUGCUGGAUUCUUAUCAAAUGAGAAGGAUGAGUCAUACAUUUGGUUAUUUCAGACCUUCCUAAAAGCAAUGGGAGGGGUAGCACCUAGACUCAUCAUAACUGAUGAAGCUGCUAGCAUCAAGAAUGGUAUUGACAAAGUUCUUCCAGCCACUAUGCAUAGGUUAUGCAUGUGGCAUAUAAUGGAAAAGGUGCCUGAA
rnacentral:rRNA from 1 species